CUUGUUUUCAGAACUCCCCCUUUCCCCGCACCCCUCUGGCCACCCACGUGGUCCAAACAGUCCUGUCACAGAGAGGUGAAGAAGUCCUCUUAUGUCCUGCGCCUCCUUUGGACAGAACUGGUGCAGACCACAUUCAUCAAGCAGAAAAACCUCGGCUAGGAGAUCCUCGAAACACACAGAGAAAGAUAACACACAAAGAAAAAAGCCUCACUUGGAAAGCUUUUGGGUUCUAUCACCAGAACCCACGGCCAAAUGACCUCCCUGGAUCACAAGGUCCCCGGCUCUAAGGGCGAGACUGUAUGUCACGCAGCCAGUCACUCCACAGCAAGUCUGCAUCCAUCUCCACUGCAGGCUAUGCUCCUCCAGUCCUGCAGUGUGGCGUCCACGCCCGGCACAGAGGUCAUGGCCAGGGCUUCAUGGGGCCCGGGAGGAAGACUGCAGGCUCGCCUUUAGGGUGACCUGUCCGGGGGCUGCUGUCAUGCUGGGGACGCUGAGUUACUCACCAGGAAGUCACCUCUGCGGGACUCAGACUGCUCAGGGAGGGCCUGGGCCUGGCCUCCGAUGGCAGCUGCCCCGAGCACACUUCCGGGAAGCCACUCCUGGGACAUCCUUACUUCCUGCUCUCUGCCCAGAGUCUGGAAGGAAGAUGAGGCCUCCUCGGUGGCAGCAUCCAGCUGUGCCUCCCUCUUUCCUGGCCUUCAGCCUGCCUCACCCCUUCCACAGACUCUUCCCUCCUCCGGCCUGGGGUCUUGGUUCCCAGAGCGGGAAGGACCCGGCCCUGCCCACCAGCCUCCUGGCUCCACACCCAUCGCUGGGUCUUCCGCAGAUUGUCUUCAUCCCCUGGCACAAUUGGAGUUCCAGAGAGAGCAAACCGUCUGGGGAGCACUGCGUGGAGCCCCGGACUUCAGGCCCCGGCAAAGGGGAGUGCUCAAUGACCUGAGUCUAUCCUUGUUCGUGGCAGAGUAGUGCUCCACUGCAUCUAAGCACUACAUCCUCUUUAUGCAUUCAUCUGUCGGUGGACACCUAUACGGCAGGAAGAGAGAUCUUUCGCAAAUGAGGAGAGAACCAAGAGAUGAAGAAGAGGGGAGGGGAGAGAGGAGGGGCGGAAGGUGUGUGAUGCACACGGGCCAGCACCCCACAGUGAACGCAACCACGCACUCAAACAUGGACUGAAAAAAUAAAAGUUUGAAAUGAGCCACAAAGACUCCCGACCCGACCCGCGGGCCGUGUGACCGUCAGUGCGUGUUGCAAUUGGCCCUGAGUCUGGGGCCGACGUGCAGCUGUCCCUCACAGAUGUACUCCCCCCCCCCACAUCACUCCAUCCUGCCUGCCAGGGACCAGCCUCUGGGUGACACAGCCGGCAUCAGGGAGGAGGUGUCAGCGGCGGCCGGAAGAAAGCUGAGAUCCUACUUCCCUCCAAAUGGGAGUGGGUGUUGCUAUCCAGGAGGUCUUUAGCUGCUCCCGAAGUAUCGCAGGUGAUGAUGGGCCAGAAGAGAACAUUUUUUAACCCUCAGGGUAGGUCUGACAUAAGGCAGGGGGCAGACUACACGGUCCUCGUGUUAAAGUUUUUAGUUUGCUUGGAAAUAACCACCCAGCACGAUCUCCUGAGCACUCACUCCAAGCAGAGUGUUGGUCCAGCCCGGGGCUUGGUCAUCCCUGAGCCAGGGCCGGUGCUUCAGGGGACAGCCACCAGCACCCUCCACAGAGAAGCUGAGACUCGGAGUCCCACGGCCGGCCAGCAGGGGGCAGGAGUCCACAGCAGGCGCCCCAGCUCCAGAUCCAGGUGCUUAAACACUGUGCCGUUCAUUUUGGUGAGCGAGGAGGAGGAGGAAAUGUUCCCCAUACUCCCAACACCUGGGAGCGACCACAAAUAAUUCUGAUGUUUUUCGUAACAACACAGAGCUCACACUACACACACAAAUGUGUGUCCUGCGCCUGUGUUUCUCAGUCGACACGCUAUGGGUGUCUUCUGCAAGCGCCGGAAGCAGGCAGGCCACCCUCAGGAUGUGCUUCGAGUCCCAGGUCCUCCCCUGCAGCAGACAACUGCAGGCGCUGUGCAGAGCGAUCCUGAGUCCAGCUGCCCAUCGGGGUGGGUACACAGGGCUCUUCCCGUGUUUGGGAUUUUUGAGUUGCAGUGGAUCCCACCUGGCGUUGUGGCCAGAACAGAGGGUGCAGAGCCCCCAGGAGGCUCGGAAGCCGGAGGGAGGGGACCCGCUGUCUGGAGCCAGGUGCCCCUCAGCGACAUCCCUCCUGAUCAGGCGCUUCACAAAGACAAGAGGACUACUUGCUUUCAGAAGGCUGGGAUUCUGUUGUCUUCAGUAGCGGAGCCUUCUUCCGGAAGCUGUAAAAUUUCAAACCUAAUGCCUGGUAAACUCCUCUAGUGCUUGCGUUUCUUAAACUGCCUCAAGGCUGUAGCCGCAGCCCUUUGCGUUUUUUAUUGUUUCUUUCGGAGCUGUGCGUUUGUGAGUCCUUGUGUGCAGUGUGUCAGGAUCACGCUCAUCCCAGGGAGUCGGUCCAUGCGUGGAACCCACCCUAAUCCCCUCUGCGUCCGCCCCCUCUCUCUGUCUCUCACUCCCCAUCCCUUUCCCAGAAGACCUGUCUCUCUGCGUCCCACUCUCUGGCUUGCAUUUUGCUCUGCUAAGCCGACCUCUCCUGGCCACCUGCCUCUUGGUUCUCACUGGGCUCCACCAUGCCCCCCAUUUCUCUAGAUCCUCAAAGGAACAAAAAAGUCCUUAAUCCCAUAAACACAAAACUAUACUUUUUUAGGAAAAAUAAUUGAAACGAAUUUUUUUCCACUGUGAUGGCUAAAUGACCCAGGAAGAGCAGGUGGCUUUCCGUCUUCUGCUGCUGAGCCUCAAGUCAGGGUGGCCGAGCUGGACGUUAGCUUGGGAAAGGCCAGGCCUGACCAUGGCACUGCCAGCAUGCACCAGACA
ensembl:lncRNA